GAACAUCGAACUAGUGUUGAACCAAAUAAGUUGAUGGUAAGACUGCAGAAUUAGUGAGAAUCGAAGAUUGUUCGAUUCACCUAUACUCCAUUGGCCAUUGUUUUUCCUUUUGACAAAAUGGGUCAAAACCUUGUUGGGCCACGCACCACGCUUUCACCAUGGCCCAAAAAACAUUGAUAACAUAGUAGAUGAUUGAGGAUUUUAAAGUGUUUUUCAUUUUCUUGCAUUUUUUUAUGUGGGAUCAGUAUGGUAGUUGAUUUAAAGAAAUAUUAGCACUAAGACAUCAAGAAAAUGAUCUCAACCUUGG
rnacentral:lncRNA from 1 species